rnacentral:rRNA from 1 species
CAGGCCUAACACAUGCAAGUCGAGCGGGGUUUGGACCUAGCGGCGGACGGGUGAGUAAUGCGUAGGAAGCUACCCGAUAGAGGGGGAUACCAGUUGGAAACGACUGUUAAUACCGCAUAAUGUCUACGGACCAAAGUGUGGGACCUUCGGGCCACAUGCUAUCGGAUGCGCCUACGUGGGAUUAGCUAGUUGGUGAGGUAAUGGCUCACCAAGGCGACGAUCUCUAGCUGGUUUGAGAGGAUGAUCAGCCACACUGGAACUGAGACACGGUCCAGACUCCUACGGGAGGCAGCAGUGGGGAAUAUUGGACAAUGGGCGCAAGCCUGAUCCAGCCAUGCCGCGUGUGUGAAGAAGGCCUUCGGGUUGUAAAGCACUUUCAGCGAGGAGGAAGAGUUGUGUGUUAAUAGUACACAGCUUUGACGUUACUCGCAGAAGAAGCACCGGCUAACUCUGUG